UACCUGCCUCUAACCACUAGGCUACCUGCCUCUAACCACUAGGCUACCUGCCUCUAACCACUAGGCUACCUGCCUCUAACCACUAGGCUACCUGCCUCUAACCACUAGGCUACCUGCCUCUAACCACUAGGCUACCUGCCUCUAACCACUAGGCUACCUGCCUCUAACCACUAGGCUACCCUGACUCUAACCACUAGGCUACCUGCCUCUAACCACUAGGCUACGCUGCCUCUAACCACUAGGCUACCUGCCUCUAACCACUAGGCUACCUGCCUCUAACCACUAGGCUACCUGCCUCUAACCACUAGGCUACCUGCCUCUAACCACUAGGCUACCUGCCUCUAACCACUAGGCUACCUGCCUCUAACCACUAGGCUACCCUGCCUCUAACCACUAGGCUACCUGCCUCUAACCACUAGGCUACCUGCCUCUAACCACUAGGCUACCUGCCUCUAACCACUAGGCUACCUGCCUGUCUUGUAUUUCUUCAGGUCAAACACCUCCAGAACCUGGUCUGAUAUCUGCAGCAUGAAGGCCAACGCUUCAUGAACAUUUAGUGUGUUGGGGACCUAGUAGCUGAGGAAUGACAGUAGCUGAGGAAUGACAGUAGCUGAGGAAUGACAGGAGCUGAGGAAUGACAGGAGCUGAGGAAUGACCGGAGCUGAGGAAUGACCGGAGCUGAGGAAUGACCGUAGCUGAGGAAUGGAACAUUCUUGUGCUUUUUUAAAAACAUUUUAUUAGACAUUGUAUUGAUUACUGUUUGGUUUCACAUCGUUUCUUUAUUUAUUGUUGUAGUACUGUAAAUCAGGGCACCCUGGGGGAUGAGACCCUGGUCUCAUUGGUUUUCCCCUGAAUAAAUGAAUAAAUUAAUAAAAUGACAGAUCUGGGUUUAUGGUGGUGUGUGGGUCUGGAUGGUUGCCCAGGCGACUGACGACAGUCGACCUAUCCCUGACCUGCAGAUCUUUAGGCAUAGUGGAGACAGGACUCCACCUGCUGGUUAAAAAGAUCAUAACUACUAUCAGAAUCUUCAUCCGUCCACUUCCCAUCAUCACCUCUCAAGCAAGGUUCGUGUGUAGUGUCAUGAUUUAAGCUACUGAUAUUGAAGGCGUGACCAGGGACUUGAUCCCGGGUCCAACGACUAUCAAGCCAACACAUGAAUCGCUACAUUAUAUCGGUUAACUUUGACACAACACCUGAAGACACAUGAACAAUGUAACCACAGACGUGGAGGGGGAAAAAAAGACUGAUCCUAAAACAUAAAUUGACAGAUUUAAUCGUCAAGGCACAACAAUCAUUGUCAGCUGAAAGGUCAAAAGGUCAGUUGAUAGAUGAGGUAGAACAACACAAGAGGCAUCUAUGGACAAUUUUGUCUCUGUCCCAAAUGGCACCCAAUCGAUUCCCUAUAUAGUGCACUACUUUUAACCAGUGCCUAUAGGGCUUUGGUAAAAAUGUAGUGCACUAGGUAGGGAAUAGGGUGGCAUUUAUGGGUCUACCAUCCAUCAUUACCCAUAAUGCUUCAGGAAGGUUCUGUUUUUGACAAUAACUAUAGUGAUACAGUCUACAGUCCACCAGUACAGGUAUUGUGAUACAGUCCACCAGUACAGGUAUUGUGAUACAGUCCACCAGUACAGGUAUUGUGAUAGAGUCUCCAGUCCACCAGUACAGGUAUUGUGAUAGUCUCCAGUCCACCAGUACAGGUAUUGUGAUACAGUCCACCAGUACAGGUAUUGUGAUACAGUCCACCAGUACAGGUAUUGUGAUACAGUCCACCAGUACAGGUAUUGUGAUACAGUCCACCAG